UACGGAGGGUGCAAGCGUUGUCCGGAAUCACUGGGCUUAAAGCGUGUGUAGGCGGGCCGUUAAGUAUCUUGUGAAAUCCCCCCGGCUCAACCGGGGAAUGGCUGGAUAUACUGGCGGUCUUGAGCGAUCUAGGGGCAGAUGGAACAAGUGGUGGAGCGGUGAAAUGCGUAGAUAUCACUUGGAACGCCAAAGGUGAAAACAGUCUGCUGGGGAUCUGCUGACGCUGAGACACGAAAGCCCAGGGGAGCGAACGGG
rnacentral:rRNA from 1 species